GCACAUGUAGCUCAGCUGGCAAGAGCAUGGGAUGCUGGUCCCAAGGUUCUGGGUUCGAGUCCCAGCGUGUAGGCA